rnacentral:rRNA from 1 species
GAUGAACGCUGGCGGCGUGCUUAACACAUGCAAGUCGAACGAAGCUGCUUAAAGGAAGUCUUCGGAUGGAAUUUAAGUAGACUUAGUGGCGGACGGGUGAGUAACGCGUGGAUAACCUGCCUUAUACAGGGGGAUAACGGAGAGAAAUUUCCGCUAAGACCGCAUAAGACCACAGCACCGCAUGGUGCAGGGGUAAAAUAUUUAUAGGUAUAAGAUGGAUCCGCGUCCGAUUAGCUAGUUGGUGAGGUAAAGGUCCACCAAGGCGACGAUCGGUAGCCGGCCUGAGAGGGUGAACGGCCACAUUGGGACUGAGACACGGCCCAA